AAACCAGCACCUCAAGUGGUCAGGAUGAUUAUUGGGCCUAAAGCAUCCGUAGCCGGCUCUGUAAGUUUUCGGUUAAAUCUGUACGCUUAACGUACAGGCUGCUGGGAAUACUGCAGAGCUAGGGAGUGGGAGAGGUAGACGGUACUCGGGAGGAAGUGGUAAAAUGCUUUGAUCUCUCGAUGACCACCUGUGGCGAAGGCGGUCUACCAGAACACGUCCGACGGUGAGGGAUGAAAGCUGGGGGAGCAAACCGGAUUAGCAACCCCAGUAGUCC
rnacentral:rRNA from 1 species